rnacentral:lncRNA from 1 species
AAAUCUGAAAUAUCGUUGAAAAGGUGAAAAAGCAAGUUACACACUGAGGCCACUAAGAGCGUAGAACACCAGGUAGAUAUUCAUUUAUGAAUCACACACCACACUCAAUCCAAAACCUUAUAGUGAUAAGUUUCUUGAUCUUUGUUUUAUACAUUAUUUAACUUGCUCAUUGCUAUACAAUGUAUGAUUCCAACUCCAAAAAACUCUCUUAAACAUGAGUCCCUUCACAUUAUAAACUCUCCUACACACUGUCUUGAUUCAUGGCCAGGUUGCAAGAGAUCAUUCGCAUUCCAUGAUCCACCACCACCAACUCCAUUAUACUCGCUUGAGGUGAAUACCAAGAAUAAUCGACUUUGAUAUUCACUAAUGGGUCACGACACGAGCAUACAUACGAGACAAUAGGUUUUCAUGUUUUUUU